GCAGUCGCUUGCUUCUGGCCUCCUGCUGAAGAGUUCACACGUUUGCAGAGGAAUGGCUCCUUUCGUUUUCAACAGGAAGCAGUGCCUUGCUUUUCAUGACGUUUCCCCGCAAGCA